AAUUUUGGACUAUGGGGGGAAACCCUGAUCCAGCCAUCCCGCGUGUAUGAUGAAGGCCUUCGGGUUGUAAUGUACUUUUGGCUGAGAAGAAAAGGUAUCUCCUAAUACGGGAUUGUGCUGACGGUAUCUGCAGAAUAAGCACCGGCUCACUACGUGCCAGCAGCGGCGGUAAUACGUAGGGUGUAAGCGUUAUGCGGAAUUACUGGGCGUAAAGCGUGUAUAGGCGGUUCGGAAAGAAAGAAGUGAAAUCUCAGGGCCCAACCUUGAAACUGCAUUUUUAUCUGCCGAGCUAGAGUAUGUCAGAGGGGGGUAGAAUUCCACAUGUAGAAGUGAAAUGCGUAGAUAAGAGGAGGAAUACCGAUGGCGAAGGCAGCCCCCUGGGAUAAUACUGACGAUCAGACACGAAAGCGUGAGGAGCAAACAGG
rnacentral:rRNA from 1 species